rnacentral:rRNA from 1 species
GUCUGUAUGUUAUACAAUAUAAAGUCUAACCUGCCCACUGAAUUUUAAAGGGCCGCGGUAAUUUGACCGUGCGAAGGUAGCAUAAUCAUUAGUCUUUUAAUUGGAGGCUUGUAUGAAUGGUUGGAUGAGGGGCAUUCUGUCUUCUUUUAUAGUGUGAAUUUAACUUUUAAGUGAAAAGGCUUAAAUUAUUUAGUGGGACGAUAAGACCCUAUAAAACUUUAUAUAGUUUGUGUAUAAUAAGUGUAUUUAGUUUAAAAUUAUUUUAUUCAAUUUAUAUUUCGUUGGGGAGAUGUCUAUAUAAUUUGUAACUGUUUUUUAAAUUAAAUAAUUAUAAUUAGUUUUUGAUCCUUUAUUAAAGAUUAAAAGAUUAAGUUACUUUAGGGAUAACAGCGUAAUUUUCUCUGAGAGUCCUUAUCGACGAGAGUAGUUGCGACCUCGAUGUUGAAUUAAAAUUUCAGAUUGGUGUAGCCGCUAUUCUGGUAGGUCUGUUCGACCUUUAAAAUUUU